rnacentral:lncRNA from 1 species
GAGAGGGGCGCGGGCGCGGGGAGGCUCGGUCGCGGGAGCGCGCACACGCCUCCCGCAGCACUCAAGCCUCCGCGGCUUCUCCCUGUCGCGCGCCCUCCGUCCUGCGCGCAGCCCUACAGCCCGGCAGCCGCCCACCCAGAGAUGGUUCGGAUGCGGCGGGGAACAGCGAGCGCGUGCACGCUCUCCGGAGCUCUGGCGCUUCCUAAGCCCCGGGCCACGCACCCUGCGCCAGGGUCUGGCCUGGGCGGGGUGGGUACCGCUGGAACCGCUGCUGCGAGAGCAAAAGGACAAUGGGGGCUUUUAUCCUUGCAUCCAGUAAGGACCAAUUACUCGUUUAAUUUGAGGCUAAUUCGAUUAUCGCCAUUGAAAAAGACAGGCUAAUUUUCUCGGUUACUUGUGCAGCCUCUUCUUCCCUGCGACGUUCGCCUUUAGAAAAGGAGUUGCACCGGGAGGUUAGGGUGAGUCGUUUGUUUGCUUGGUUGGAGCUCAGUGAUGAUGUCCAGCUUGAAGACCGAUGACGCUGACCUCUAUGAGAGAAGCUUUGGGCGUUGGAGCCAGUCAUAUGUGUUUCUUCAAACGGUUAAUGGAUUCCUCCAUGUGAAUGCUAUUUUACCUUUCCCCUCGAGGGUAGCUGGGAACAGCCUACAAGUGGUUUAUCCAAUUCUUGCCUCAUGGCUAAGCACAGACUCAACUUUAACCAGAGGCCAGGUGCUUUGCCCUGGACUCCCGGUUAUUAUAGAGGAUCCUUGAGAUGACGUGAACGCUGGAGUUCUACCACCUCCAUUUUCUGACAAUGGACAUUUUCUUGAAUUUAUGUUAAUUGCCCCCCACAAAGCAGCCCACUGGCUAUCUUGUCAGCUCCCAGGCUGUGUAGAAGUCCUGAAACUGCACUAAUGGGAGGGAAAGGAUGGUGAAUCAUCAUUCUAGGAAUAGAAAUGCUCUUUGGAGAACACGGUCUGGAGAAACUGAUUUCCUCCCAUUUCUGUAAGAUCCCCAACUGUGGGCUUUUCAAGGGAAUAUGGUCCUUGACUUAAAAGGCAGUGUUCCCUGGAGAUCUGCCCACCUGCUUAAAAAGCAACCUGGGCUGAUGGAAGCAUAUUUUAGUACUAAAAUAAAACAAAAAAUUGUCAUAGUACGUUGAAGACGAUUAUUUGUUUUAGAGCUUUACUAUCAGUUUGCUUUUGAUUAUAUGGAAAAAGUUGAGGAAGGCAAGUAAUUUAACAUUUUCCUCAGAAGGUUCAUAACAGAGCCAGAAGGUCAAUUCUUUCAAGGGUAGGAUUCUUUGUUCUUUUGAAUGUGUUGUUCAGUUAAGAGGUACUAAAAGUAUUUGUUGACCUAAAUCAAACAAAAUCUACAUGGGAACUGCUACCCAGUAAUGAAGAAAACCCACUAGAAAUGAAAGUUGCUUCCCUUUCGAGGGUCAGUGGAGUAUGUCUCUGGUAUCAACCUAGCCACACUGUUAAUAGAUCACCAAUCUAAACCACAUCAAUGCUGGGGAAUGCCUCACUUUAAAUUCUUCCAAAGCUAUUGUGAAAUGGUAACACCUCAAUGCUUCCUUCAUCACAGAUAGCAGGUACUUAAAUCUUCCUUUGAUGGCUGACUCAUCUCCCCCAUUCCACUCCCACUUAAGUCUUAUUUUUUUUUCUUCAAAAAGGAACUCCCCCAACUGGUAAUUAGUCCAAAAAAGAUGUGAAAGUCAAAGAUUCAGAGGUUUACCAUAAAUACCUCACCACUUCUAUCUUUUGAUAGAAAAUAAAAAUCACCCAGAAAAGAC